rnacentral:snoRNA from 1 species
AGGCUUCGUGUUCACAUCGUGAUGACAGUUUUCCAUGGUAUUGUGUGAGACGUGCCUCCCUCGACCCUUGUUAUGACAUAUACACAUUAAUAGUCUGACU